rnacentral:tRNA from 1 species
AAAGAUUUAGUUAAUUUUAUAACAUUAAAAUGUCAAUUUAAAAUAAUUUUAAAUAAUAAUCUUUU